CGGGGCGCCGCGGGAAUUCUGACCUCAGCGGGGGCGUGCGGUCCGGGGCCCUAGCUGCUGGACGGGGGCUGGCGAAAGCCCCGGCCUGGGAGUCAGACUGUGUCCGGUCCAGCGUCCCCAGCAGGUGUGUGCCCUUGGAAGAUUUAACCUCCUUCAGUCUCAGUGCCUUCAUCUAUAAAUGAGGUACCGGUCACCCCCGAGAACUGUUGUAAAAGAGCGGUAACGCGCGGGAGUUUGGCGCCCGGCACCUGAUGACAGCGAUAGUUCCCCCCAAGUGCCCGCCGUGACUCGGACAUGGCUGGUGCAGGGGAAGGUGAGGCUCUUGUGAGGGCCUGAAAGGGGAAGGCACCACCCAAUGAGGACCCUCAGAUCUCCCAGGAGUAAGAAUGGAGCCUCCAGAACUCCCUUGGGAGCCUCUUGAAAACACCUUUCAAUCAUCUGAAGUACCUGUGGUCAUUUUGGGCAGGAUAUCUCACCAAAUCCAUCUGCCAGGAGGCCUUGGUACUGAGCCUCUGUGCGAGCUGAUGUUAACCAAGCGAAGAAGGAAGGACUGGUCCACGCUGAGAGGACAAGGUGCAGGGGCCGUGGCAGGUGAAGGCAAGCAAUGGAAGGUGUCAUGAAAUCUGGAUGUGUGGAGCCAGGGCACUCGAUCCUGUGAGGUGGGACAUCGGGGUGCAAGGGUGCGAUCGUAGGAAGCCUCGGGAACUGUGGCAGGAACACUUGUCUGAGGGUCAGACUGGUGUUUUGGAAAGUUCACUGGUCCAGGUGCAGAACAUGGGUGGGAAUGGGGCUGAGGCGGGGGCUAUUGCAGGAGGGCUGUCGGAAGGUUCUGGCAGCUCGGGGAAGAUGGACAGAAAUGGGUGCAACAUAGAGUCACCAGCAGUAAGUCAGUGUUUGUUCAGCACCCACUCUGUGCUUUGCUCUGUCGCCAAUCUUGAAGACACAGCAGAAGACAAGACAGACCGGCUCCUGUCCCUGUGGAGAGGACCGCUGGCUCCAGGCUUCUGGCUGGCACAGCUGCGUGGAGAGUGAGACAGGAACUCCAGAAGAAAGAACAAGUUCCAUUUUGGACACACUGAGCUUUGGGGGCCUUUGAGCUUCCCAGAGGAGGUAGAGAAUGGAUUGUUGGAGUUUGAGGGAAAGAUAUGGGCUGGAAAUAAGGGUCUGCUUAUUCGUCAGACCCCAGAAUCAAAUCAAGAGAGAGAGGUAGCAGCGAGCAGCUGCUGUGGCCUGGAUGUGAUUUGUUCCCUGAGAGCUCAUGGGUCAGGAAGCGUGGUCCUCACUGUGAGGGUGUUAGGAAGGACUGGACCCUGUAGGAGCUGGGGCCUCCGGGAUGGAAUGCGGCCAUGGUGGGUGCGCCCUCCAGAAAGGACCCUUAGGGGACUAACGCCUCUGGAUCGCUCUUGCUUCCUGUCUUGCCGUGUGAUCUCUGCCUCUCACACUCUCCCACCAUGAUGUGCGCUGUGAUGCAGCCAAAGGGCACUCAAGAGGCCAGGAGCCGUCAAGGACUCUGAGCCUCUAAAACAGUGAGCUACGUGAACCAACCUUCCUUCCCUCCCUCCUUCCUUCCUUCUUUCCAAUACUGGGA